UCUUCAAGAGCUUUUAGGAAAUCAAUUGAAAACAAGUCUCAAGAAUUAUUAGUGGAACAAAUAGCAAAAUUGUAAUGAUAUCAAUUUUGAUAACCUAAAGUGAAAGAUUUUCCAAGUGUAGAAACUUAGUAAAAUUUACAUUACACGUUACAGCAACUUAGCUUUCAAAAACAAAAGAACUAAAGAACAGUUACAUUAUCCGCAUACAGAGAGUAGUAACAUUACACUAGUUAAGAUUCAAGGCCAAACAAAAUCCACACACACUCUCGAUUCCAAUAGAUUCUCCGUCAUUCUUUCUUGAAUCUCUUCAAUUCUCCGAUUCUUCAUAUUCUUCACAGUAUCCUCAUCAUUCAAUGGUUUUCUCACAGUAGCAUAUGAUGAAGAAGUUAUGGUAGAAUAAGAAGAAGAAGGAGGAUAUGCUGCUAAUAGAGCUGAAGCACCACACUUACGAUUCCGAACAAGCUCUGAAAACAAAAGUACAAGUGAAGCCAUGGAAGUUGAUGGAAACUCAAGAUUAUGAACAAGGUUAUUUGUGUAUAUGUAAUUUAAGGUUUUGUUUUUUUCGUUAUGGUGUAGGCGAAAUUGAUGGUUAGAGAAAAUAAGUGAAGGUCAUAUAAAGGGGUAAGUGAAGUAAAUGAGAGAGUUGUAAGAGAAGAAAGGACACGGAUUGAAGUUGUUUACUGGUAGCUGGAGCUGUUUGGUUUGUUUUUUUCUAUGACUCGUGUUGGAAGGUGUUUUUCAGGAAUGCACUGAAAACAGUGGUUUUGUAGCCGCUGAUUUACUCACUCUGUUGUCUGGUAUUUUUCAUUUAUGGGCUAUGCACUUGCAAAUUUCUUUUAUUUUUGAACAAAUAUGUUAACUUAAGCAUAUUCCAAUUCCAAAAC
rnacentral:lncRNA from 1 species